rnacentral:lncRNA from 1 species
GAAAGAGGAACACUCCUCCAUUUCUCUUCCAGGUUUGUGGUCCCCCUCGCACCCACGAAUAACUGGGUCCUGCUGGAUGGAACAACACAUGCCAUUUAGAAUGUAACACCAUGUUUCUGCAGUUGAAAGAAGCGUUUCAGAAGAGGACCACUAAGUGAUGGUAGGAAGAAUUUAAUAUUUACCCAUUAAAGUAAAAUAUUAUUCAAAUAGAGGGACACUUCCUUCUCUUAUCUCAUGUUCAUCUCACAAGUGAAUUAAAGCCAUUAUAAGGAAUUGUUCUUUUAUUAGUUGCAGCAAAUCACAUGCUUAGCAGAUUUACUAUCUCCUGAAUAUCACCACUACCAUCACCAAACACUUACAGGGAACCUAUUGUAGACAGGAGAUGUAGUGCUAGGAGUUUUGCAUCUUUCUGGAAAGAUGGCAUAUUUAUAACAGAGACAGAUAGUAAUACAUUGGGUGUCAAACAACAAAUGAAACUUAAAAUAUGUGUAAUUGGAGUUUGACCAGGAGUCAUCAGAAGGAGGUGAGGGUUGGUCAGGGCUAUAUAGCAGAAGGCAUCUACUGUGUGCACUAUAGAGGAAAGGGAGUAGGAUCAGAUCAGGGAGUGUUAUGAGCAUAAGAGCUGAGCACAGGUGGCCCCAGAGUCUUAUUAUGCUUGAGUUUAUUGAUCUGUAAACAAUGCAGAGAUAUACAUUGAACUGGUAGGCUGGCUAGAGUAUUUACUAACCCUCAUGCGGUGCUUUGAAUGAGAAUGGCCCCAUAUGAGGUCAUUCAUAUGUUUGAGUACUUGGUCCCAGGUCAUGAAUUGUUUGGGAAAGAUUGGAAGGUGUGUGCUUUGUUGGUGGAGGUGUGUUACUGAGGGGCAGCAGGACGGAGUGCUUCAAGUGUCCAUUCACAGUGUAUUUUUGCUCUACUUCCUGUUUUUGGACUGGGAUAUGAACUGUCAGGCCCUGCUCCAGCACCCAGCCUGCCUGUGGCCAUGAUCCUUGCCAUGAUGGUAAUAGGCUCCUUCCCCUGCACUGUAUGGCC